AUGGAAAAAAAGGAACUUGCCCGUAUGGUGUUCACUAAAAAGAAGAAUCUGCUAAAAGAUUGGAUGUGGGCUGUACAUGGAAAAGAACUUGUUCCUGGGAUUCAGAAGGGAGGACGUGCCAUGGAACUUCGAGAUGGCGGAGAACCAUGUGUACCUCCAUGUCAUGCUUUGGCAGAAGCCGGAUGCCGACGAGUCAGAACGCCUGCUGAAGAAGCCACUCUGCUCACCAUUGGUAUGACAGACUUGUCGCUCCUUAGAUCAUGUAUGUAUCAUCUGCUUCUAUGGAGAGCCUAUGGCCUAUGUGAAUAA
rnacentral:rRNA from 1 species